AGGGGACAGCCGUCCGUGUGUUGGGGAAAGGGGACAGCGAUAUGUGUGUUGGGGGUGGCCCCGCAUACCCUCCAGGUGUGCCCCUUUCAUGACACGUCACAGCAGAGCCCCACGAUGGCCUCUAAGUGUAAGUGGAGGGAAGAGUUGCUGGUCUCUCGCUUUAAAUCACAAGCUGGACAUGGCUAAGCUGAGUGAGGCAGGCAGGUGAAGGCCAAGGUCGAUAGCUAGGCCUCUUGCACCAGUGAGCCAAGUUAUGAAUACCCAGGAAAUGUCCUUGAAGGAAGUUAAAAUGCUACUCCAGUGGACACACAGUUGCCAACAAGUGAAACUGCCUCCUUGCUGAUGUGGAGAAAGUUCGAGUGGUCCGGACAGAAGAUCAAACCAGCCAUGACCCUCCCUUAAGCCAGAGCCUCGACCAGAGCAAGGCCCUAACUCUCUCCAACUCCACAAAGGUGGAGAGGGUGAGGAAGCUGCAGAAGAAAAGUCUGAAGUCCACAGAGGUUGGUUCAUGAGGUUUAAGGAAAGAAGCCGUCUCCGUAAGGUAAAGAUGUGGCUUCUUCGCAGGCUGCCAGGGUGAGGCCGCAUCAGGAGGCUACGUCUGCGGAGCCAUCCCAGGAGCAAUGGGCAGCGUCUGUGGGUCUAGUGGCGAGGUCUCUAGUUCUGAGUCUCCAGGGAGAGGUGCGCAGGGAGCCCAGGGCCCCCCUUCCCCCACGGCACACAAACGUCUAUCUCCCCGCAGCCUGCACCGAUCCCUCGUGAACCACGGGACCGCGUGCGGUUAUUCUCAGCUCAGAGAUAGGCCCUAGACUGGAGCCCAGCUGCACACACCUCAAAACGAACGUCCGAGACUCCAGGGCUGCAGUCACUCUUGGACGAAUUCUAAGGUCAUCCCAGUCCUCUCAGGGGAGAGGGCACAGGCUGCAGGACCCGGUGACCAGCGUGAGUCCAGAAGGGUAGGGCCAAGGGGUCAGAGCCACCACCCCAGCCACCUCAGAACCAGAGCAGCCCUGGGCGUCCCGCUGUGGGCCUCGAGACCCCAGCAUGAUUCCGGGUAAAGAAUUUCCACUGUCAAGAAGUGUAAACAUGAUUAUCUGAGGUGCAAUGGCCAUAUUUUCAAACCAAACUUCAGAAGGGGCGUGGCAGUACUGAAUUCUGCCUGGGUGUGGUUUUUCCAGGCAGCAGCCCCCAACGGGUUUUCUUUUCUUUUCUUUUUGACAUAGGGUCUCACUCUGUUGCCCAGGCUGGGCAGCCUCAACCUUCCAGGCUCCAGAGAUCCUCCCACCUCGGUCUCCCUAGUAGCUGGGACUACAGGCAUGCGCCACCAUGCCCAGCUAAUUUCUAAACUUAUUUUUGUAGAGAUGAGGUUUCUCUCAGUUGACCAAGCUGGUCUUGAACUCCUGGCCUCAAGUGAUCCUCCUGCCUCGGCCUCCCAAAGAUCUGGGAUGGCAAGCUUGAGCUGUGGCCAGCCUUGACCAGGUUUCCCAUGGGCCUGGGGUGUGCUUGUCUCCAGCAGCUCUGAAGCGCCUCUCUUCCAACUCCACUCCAGUUCCAGCAGCACAGAGACCCAGAUGGGCAUCCAUCCACGCUGGGGUCAGGCCCAUGCGCCAAGCUCCUCUGAGUAGCCUGAGUCCUCAGCCAUGGUGACCCCACGUGGAAAAGUCUUGAAACUGACGUCUCAAAGAGGAUGAUGUGUGAGCGACCGUGACAGCAGCACAAAUCCCAGGUGGACAGGACACUCCGGCUGCCCCGAGUGGCCGAGGACGGGUCGGCAUCUCCUGGCAUUUUUGUCCGUUUUGGUGGCAGGUGAGCCCAGCACGUAGGGAGGGAUGGGCAGCCCACAGCCGGGACUGGACGACUCAGAAGUUCCGGCUAAGGUAGGAUAACUUGGGCAGGCUUCCCGAGUCCCUCCCAGCUGCGGUCCCCUGGCCCCCACUUGCUCAGUGGCCAGGUGUGGGAGGAGCCAGCGGCCCUGUGCCAAGGGAGCACGAGUUGGGGCGUGUGGGGAUGGGAGGCCGGGUCGAAGGCCGCCUUUCAGUGCAGGGAAGGACCUGAUACCACAGUCCAGCAGCAGAGGGAAAGCCAGGCCAGGGGUUUGAGGCCAGAGAUCUCAGAACCUUGGGAGCCAGCUGCUAGUCUGCAUUUCAGGGUGCCAGGAGUCCCUGGAGACGGGGAUGGAGCCCUGUGGGUGGAGACAGCAGGACUUCAGGUCACCAAUGAGGCCAGGGUGCUGGUGCUCAGGGUCCCAGCUGUGGGGGUCUCAGUUCUCCCAGCCCUGCUCCCAGGCUGACCCUCCAGGCCAGCCCCUCUCUGUAGGUCUGAGGAGGGUCCUUAUGGAGCACAGGUGGGGCUGGGGAAAUGGCACAUGUCUCCGCAAAGCUCCUGUGCCUCCUUUGCUCCGGAGAGCCUGCUCCUUCACAGAGGGCGUCUGAUACA
rnacentral:lncRNA from 10 species